rnacentral:tRNA from 1 species
UCCCUUGUGGUCCAGUGGUUAAGAUGCUGUGCUUUCAAUACAGGGGACGUGGGUUUGAUUCCUGGUUGGGGAA